UCCCGUGGCCACGUUGCAGCCCAGGCGGAGGCGCGGGAUCUCGAGCUGGGAUCGCCCUCCUGGGCUUCGGUGCGAUCGGCGGCGGGAGGUUCCCUGGGAACCAGGUGGUCGAAGGGCUGAGCUGUGUGGCCAGACAAGAGGUCCCUGCCCUCCCCCAGUGAGCCCUGCUGUUCCCGUGGGAGCCAUGAAGCUGAACGAGAGGAGCGUAGCCCACUAUGCACUCAGCGACUCCCCAGCGGACCACAUGGGCUUCCUGCGCACCUGGGGGGGCCCAGGGACCCCACCAACCCCCAGUGGCACUGGCCGAAGAUGCUGGUUUGUCCUCAAGGGCAACCUGCUAUUCUCCUUUGAGAGUCGCGAGGGCCGGGCCCCACUGAGCCUGGUGGUGCUGGAAGGCUGCACAGUGGAACUGGCCGAGGCUCCCGUGCCCGAGGAGUUUGCCUUUGCCAUCUGCUUUGAUGCCCCUGGAGUGCGCCCACACCUGCUGGCCGCAGAAGGGCCGGCGGCCCAGGAGGCUUGGGUGAAGGUGCUGUCCCGGGCAAGCUUUGGCUACAUGCGCCUGGUGGUCCGCGAGUUGGAGAGCCAGUUGCAGGACGCACGCCAGAGCCUGGCUUUGCAACGCCGCUCAUCCCGGAAGUCUGUUGCCAGCCGCUGUAAGCCCCAGGCUCCUAACCACGGAGCUGCGGGCCUGGAGAAUGGCCACUGCCUAUCCAAGGACAGCAGCCCUGUGGGCUUGGUUGAAGAAGCGGCCAGCAGGUCUGCAGGGUGGGGGUUGGCUGAGUGGGAGCUGCAGGGCCCUGCCAGCCUCCUCCUAGGCAGGGGGCAGAGCCCUGUGUCCCCUGAGACCUCCUGCUUCUCUACCCUGCAUCACUGGUAUGGCCAGGAGAUCGUGGAGCUGCGGCAGUGUUGGCAGAAGAGGGCCCAGGGGAGCCACUCAAAAUGCAUUCUCCAGGUUCGAGAUCCACCCGUGUGUCUGGAAGGGACUGAGGGACCAUUCCUUCCAUCCUCUUUAUUUCCUGAGGUCCAGAGAAGGAAGGAGACUUAGCAGCCACAGAGCAAGACCCCAAUCUCCUGACUGCACUGGCCUGCCUGCCCCCUCCCAGGGGAUGUUAAUGAAAUGAAGGAAGUGGGGAAUGUCACCCGAGACUGUCACAGGCUUGCCAUACCUUUGACCUACACACCGGGCUCUAGAGCCAUAAUUUCCAACCUGGGGAGUCUCCUGUGCACUUAAAUCCGAGGGUGUACUUGCCAGGACCUCUCCUUGCUACUCUUCCCAAAGUCGGGAGGCAAAGCGGCUGGGUCACCAGAGCCUGACCAUACUGACGCUCCAGGGGGAAGACGCAGAGGCCGGGAAGAGACACCCCCUCCCAAACACAUAAAACUUGCCCCUUCCUAGCCUCGGCUCCCCUCACUGGGGCCUUGGGCAGGACCGACCCGCAUCCAACUAGGCCUAAGGGGUAGGCUCUGAGCCUCUUACCCCUAAGAGGCGGAGAUGCGCCCAAGGCGGGCGCCCGGCCUGUUCCCCAGCCCUGCCUGGAAGCCCCGCAGCCACUGCAUUUUGUUUAAACACAGAUAGCACGGGCCUUUCUCUUAUUGCUACAGUGUUUUGUACACGGUUAAAACACUAGUAAAGCUUUUUCGUUAUUA